rnacentral:rRNA from 1 species
UACGGAGGGUGCAAACGUUGCUCGGAAUCAUUGGGCGUAAAGCGCACGUAGGCGGCCUGUUAAGUCGGAUGUGAAAGCCCUGGGCUCAACCCAGGAAGUGCAUACGAAACUGGCAGGCUUGAAUAUGGAAGAGGGUCGCGGAAUUCCCGGUGUAGAGGUGAAAUUCGUAGAUAUCGGGAGGAACACCAGUGGCGAAGGCGGGUCUCUGGGCCGAUAUUGACGCUGAGGAGCGAAAGCGUGGGGAGCGAACAGG